UACGUAGGGUCCGAGCGUUGUCCGGAAUUACUGGGCGUAAAGAGCUCGUAGGCGGUCUGUCGCGUCUGCUGUGAAAACUCGGGGCUUAACCCCGGGCCUGCAGUGGGUACGGGCAGACUGAGAGUGCGGUAGGGGAGACUGGAAUUCCGUGGUGUAGCGGUGAAAUGGCGCAGAUAUCAGGAGGAACACCGGUGGCGAAGGCGGGUCUCUGGGCCGUAACUGACGC
rnacentral:rRNA from 1 species